CCUACGGGGGGCUGCAGUGGGGAAUAUUGGACAAUGGGUGAAAGCCUGAUCCAGCCAUGCCGCGUGUGUGAAGAAGGCCUUCGGGUUGUAAAGCACUUUCAGUGGGGAAGAAAGCCUUGGGGCUAAUACCCUCGAGGAAGGACAUCACCCACAGAAGAAGCACCGGCUAACUCCGUGCCAGCAGCCGCGGUAAUACGGAGGGUGCGAGCGUUAAUCGGAAUUACUGGGCGUAAAGCGCGCGUAGGCGGUCUGAUAAGCCGGUUGUGAAAGCCCCGGGCUCAACCUGGGAACGGCAUCCGGAACUGUCAGGCUAGAGUGCAGGAGAGGAAGGUAGAAUUCCCGGUGUAGCGGUGAAAUGCGUAGAGAUCGGGAGGAAUACCAGUGGCGAAGGCGGCCUUCUGGACUGACACUGACGCUGAGGUGCGAAAGCGUGGGUAGCAAACAGGAUUAGAUACCCGUGUAGUC
rnacentral:rRNA from 1 species